rnacentral:rRNA from 1 species
UGGCAUACGUGUCGGAUUAUUGGGCGUAAAGGGCUCGCAGGCGGUUUCUUAAGUCUGAUGUGAAAGCCCCCGGCUCAACCGGGGAGGGUCAUUGGAAACUGGGAAACUUGAGUGCAGAAGAGGAGAGUGGAAUUCCACGUGUAGCGGUGAAAUGCGUAGAGAUGUGGAGGAACACCAGUGGCGAAGGCGACUCUCUGGUCUGUAACUGACGCUGAGGAGCGAAAGCGUGGGGAGCGAACAGGAUUAGAUACCCUGGUAGUCCACGCCGUAAACGAUGAGUGCUAAGUGUUAGGGGGUUUCCGCCCCUUAGUGCUGCAGCUAACGCAUUAAGCACUCCGCCUGGGGAGUACGGUCGCAAGACUGAAACUCAAAGGAAUUGACGGGGGCCCGCACAAGCGGUGGAGCAUGUGGUUUAAUUCGAAGCAACGCGAAGAACCUUACCAGGUCUUGACAUCCUCUGACAACCCUAGAGAUAGGGCUUUCCCUUCGGGGACAGAGUGACAGGUGGUGCAUGGUUGUCGUCAGCUCGUGUCGUGAGAUGUUGGGUUAAGUCCCGCAACGAGCGCAACCCUUGAUCUUAGUUGCCAGCAUUUAGUUGGGCACUCUAAGGUGACUGCCGGUGACAAACCGGAGGAAGGUGGGGAUGACGUCAAAUCAUCAUGCCCCUUAUGACCUGGGCUACACACGUGCUACAAUGGACAGAACAAAGGGCUGCGAGACCGCAAGGUUUAGCCAAUCCCAUAAAUCUGUUCUCAGUUCGGAUCGCAGUCUGCAACUCGACUGCGUGAAGCUGGAAUCGCUAGUAAUCGCG